GAUGAACGCUGGCGGCGUGCCUAAUACAUGCAAGUCGAACGGUAAGGCCCUUCGGGGUACACGAGUGGCGAACGGGUGAGUAACACGUGGGUGAUCUGCCCUGCACUUCGGGAUAAGCCUGGGAAGCUGGGUCUAAUACCGGAUAGGACCACUGCCUGCAUGGGUGGUGGUGGAAAGCUUUUGCGGUGUGGGAUGGGCCCGCGGCCUAUCAGCUUGUUGGUGGGGUGAUGGCCUACCAAGGCGACGACGGGUAGCCGGCCUGAGAGGGUGACCGGCCACACUGGGACUGGGAUACGGCCCAGACUCCUACGGGAGGCAGCAGUGGGGAAUAUUGCACAAUGGGCGCAAGCCUGAUGCAGCGACGCCGCGUGAGGGAUGACGGCCUUCGGGUUGUAAACCUCUUUCAGCACCGACGAAGCGCAAGUGACGGUAGGUGCAGAAGAAGGACCGGCCAACUACGUGCCAGCAGCCGCGGUAA
rnacentral:rRNA from 1 species